AGAGUUUGAUCAUGGCUCAGGAUGAACGCUAGCGGCAGGCCUAACACAUGCAAGUCGAACGGUAAGGCUCACUUCGGUGAGUACACGAGUGGCGCACGGGUGCGUAACGCGUAUGCAACCUGCCUUCAACUGAGGGAUAGCCCCGAGAAAUUGGGAUUAAUACCUCAUAAUAUUCCGAAACCGCAUGGUUUUGGAAUUAAAGCUCCGGCGGUUGAAGAUGGGCAUGCGUGACAUUAGGCUGUUGGUGAGGUAACGGCUCACCAGGCCAACGAUGUCUAGGGGUUCUGAGAGGAUUAUCCCCCACACUGGUACUGAGACACGGACCAGACUCCUACGGGAGGCAGCAGUGAGGAAUAUUGGGCAAUGGACGAAAGUCUGACCCAGCCAUGCCGCGUGCAGGAUUGACGGCCCUACGGGUUGUAAACUGCUUUUAUACGGGAAGAAACCUGCGGACGUGUCCGCAGCUGACGGUACCGUAUGAAUAAGCAUCGGCUAACUCCGUGCCAGCAGCCGCGGUAAUACGGAGGAUGCAAGCGUUAUCCGGAUUUAUUGGGUUUAAAGGGUGCGCAGGCGGACCUGUAAGUCAGUGGUGAAAGCCCUCGGCUCAACCGAGGAACUGCCAUUGAUACUGCAGGCCUAGAGUACAGAUGGGGUAGGCGGAAUGUAGCAUGUAGCGGUGAAAUGCAUAGAUAUGCUACAGAACACCAAUCGCGAAGGCAGCUUACCAGACUGUUACUGACGCUCAGGCACGAAAGCGUGGGGAGCGAACAGGAUUAGAUA
rnacentral:rRNA from 1 species